rnacentral:lncRNA from 1 species
CGGACCCGGAGCCAGCGCGGAGCACCUGCGCCCGCGGCUGACACCUUCGCUCGCAGUUUGUUCGCAGUUUACUCGCACACCAGUUUCCCCCACCGCGCUUUGGAUUAGUGUGAUCUCAGCUCAAGGCAAAGGUGGGAUAUCAUGGCAUCUAUCUGGGGCAGAAGAGAUGAAAGUCUGAAAGUGGAUGAGCAUCUGGCCAAACAAGAUGCCCAGAUUCUCUAUAAAGCUGGUGAGAACAGAUGGGGCACGGAUGAAGACAAAUUCACUGAGAUCCUGUGUUUAAGGAGCUUUCCUCAAUUAAAACUAA